GACGAACGCUGGCGGCGUGCCUAAUACAUGCAAGUAGAACGCUGAAGGAGGAGCUUGCUUCUCUGGAUGAGUUGCGAACGGGUGAGUAACGCGUAGGUAACCUGCCUGGUAGCGGGGGAUAACUAUUGGAAACGAUAGCUAAUACCGCAUAAGAGUAGAUGUUGCAUGACAUUUGCUUAAAAGGUGCAAUUGCAUCACUACCAGAUGGACCUGCGUUGUAUUAGCUAGUUGGUGGGGUAACGGCUCACCAAGGCGACGAUACAUAGCCGACCUGAGAGGGUGAUCGGCCACACUGGGACUGAGACACGGCCCAGACGCCUACGGGAGGCAGCAGGAGGGAAUCGUCGGCAAGGGACGGAAGUCUGACCGAGCAACGCCGCGUGAGUGAAGAAGGUUUUCGGAUCGUAAAGCUCUGUUGUAAGAGAAGAACGAGUGUGAGAGUGGAAAGUUCACACUGUGACGGUAUCUUACCAGAAAGAGACGGCUAACUACGUG
rnacentral:rRNA from 1 species